GAAGAAGAAGAAGAAGAAGCAGAAGAAGAAGCAGAAGUCGGUGUGGAGAACUAUGGUGUCUUUAAUCUAUCUUGGCUCGCCUUUCUUACCCUCAAUUAGAGGCCCCCAUGCGAGGAACUGAGGGUCAACAUGGGGGUUGGAUCCCUCCACCUUCAAAGUGUACGACCGUUUAGUCUCAAAGUCCACCAUCUGUAAAAGAGAGAGAGGAGAGAGAUGUCCGGUCGUGGAAGGAGGAGCUCAUAGAACCAGCAAAGUUUAGAUGUAUACGAGAAAUAAAG